rnacentral:rRNA from 1 species
UACGUAGGGGGCAAGCGUUGUCCGGAUUUACUGGGCGUAAAGCGCGUGUAGGCGGCCACGCAGGUCCGUUGAGAAAACUAGAGGCUCAACCUCUAGACGUCGACGGAAACCGUGUGGCUAGAGUCCGGAAGAGGAGAGUGGAAUUCCUGGUGUAGCGGUGAAAUGCGCAGAUAUCAGGAAGAACACCAAUGGCGAAGGCAGCUCUCUGGGACGGUACUGACGCUGAGACGCGAAAGCGUGGGGAGCGAACAGG